rnacentral:rRNA from 1 species
CAGCCGUAAACAAUGUGCGUUAGGUGUGUCGGUAACCACGUGUUACUGAUGCGCCGAAGAGAAAUCGUGAAACGCACCACCUGGGAAGUACGGUCGCAAGGCUGAAACUUAAAGGAAUUGGCGGGGGAGCACCACAACAGGUGGAGCCUGCGGUUUAAUUGGAUUCAACGCCGGACAUCUCACCGGAUAAGACAGCUGAAUGAUUGUCAAUCUGAAGGUUUUACAUGACUAGCUGAGAGGAGGUGCAUGGCGUGUGACUGU